AAAAAAAAAAAAAAAAGAGAAAAGGAAGUUUCUUGGUCGGUGCAGUGUUGUUAGUCGGGCUGUCAAAGGACUCUUGACAGCCCGAUUUUCUUGGACCCUUUCAUUAAGGUGGUUGUCUCUCCUUUCAUAUUUGGUUAUCUGGGUUGUGGUCAGAUUCGGUUGCCUGGCUCUGUAUUUUAUUCCUGCUUUGAUAUUUUGUAGGAUUGCCUUCAUGUUCUUAUGAGAGAUUCUCUUCUUCUGUCUCCGCUAUGGGUUCCUUGUCUGGAAUCCUUCAAAGACCAAUAGUGGCAGCUGCUGCCGUUGCCGUCGCUUCUGUUUCUACUGACCUUUCCGAUAAACUCCCAUCUCUUAAAUCAUUAGAUACUUUUUCUGCCAUAGACCGGUCACAUUCUUCAUUAUCUAAUUCAGUGCGAGAACCAAACAUUUCAUGGGUUUCCCAUAUAUCAGUUUCCAAGCUGACAAACUUGUCCUUUGUCACUAGAAUUCGUGUACCUAUACCUAACGCCAACUUCCCAUCCUCUAAUUCAAUUCGGAAAUUUGUCCCCAAUACAUUAGCUUCUUCUCUUCUUCUUAAUUCAUAUCAGUCUGCAGAGUUGGCAAAAGGACCGAAACCAACAGCAUUUACGAAUGCAAUCCCUACUUCCCCUCCUGAUGUAUUGUACAGAUGGCAUUUGCCUGAGCCAGAUGCUAUUGAUGUUUCUGGGUCUUUCGAUUGCUCGUUGGGAAAGUCUAGGACAGUCGUGGUUCUGUUAGGAUGGUUGGGAUCAAAGCAGAAGCAUCUUAAGAAAUAUGCGGAUUGGUAUACUUCAAGGGGAUUUCAUGCCAUUACUUUCACAUUUCCAAUGGCUGAGAUUCUUAGUUACCGGGUUGGUGGGAAAGCUGAACAAGAUAUAGACUUGCUUGUGAACCAUCUGGCUGAUUGGCUAGAACAGGAGCAUGAAAAGAACCUGGUUUUCCAUACUUUCAGCAAUACUGGAUGGUUAACAUAUGGAGUUAUACUAGAGAAGUUUCAGAAUCAGGAUUCUUCCUUAAUGGGAAGGAUUAAGGGUUGUGUUGUGGAUUCUGCACCUGUUGCAGCCCCUGAUCCCCAGGUCUGGGCUUCGGGUUUCUCUGCAGCUUUUCUAAAAAAGAACAGUGUUGCUACUAAAGUACAUGUCAGCUCACAUGAGUCAAAUGUGGAGGUAUCAGUUGGCAGCAAAACAUUGGUAGAACCUAAACCUGCAGCAACUGAAGCAGCUUUAUUAGUAAUUUUGGAGAAGUUCUUUGAGGUGAUUUUAAAUCUUCCGACUGUGAACAGGAGGCUUUCUGAUGUGUUAAGCUUACUAUCAUCAGGACAACCUAGAUGUCCACAGCUAUACAUUUAUAGCUCUGCGGAUAGAGUCAUCCCUGCUAUGUCUGUGGAAUCGUUUAUAGAGGAUCAGCGAAGAGCCGGGCAUGAUGUUAGAGCUUGCAACUUUGUGUCCACACCUCAUGUUGAUCAUUUCAGAAAUGAUCCAAAACUGUACAGUGCUCAGCUUAGCCAAUUUUUGGAUGAUUAUGUGCUUACUUGUUGUAAACAUGCUAAUUGAAGCCAUUGGGCAAUAUAUUAAACCCUUCAUUCUUUACUUUUUUUAUUUUUAAAGAAAAAAAAGAAAAAUUACAGUUGCAAGCUUAUAGAAAAUUGGCACAGAGGUCUUUUAUUGAUCAUAUUUGUCGUUGUUAUUCUUAAAGUGUUCGGGGCAUUGAAUUCAGUUCUUCCCCUUCAGAGAAUAGGUGUGAUUAUCAAGUGGGUCAUGCCUCAGUGACUCCUGUUAAUUGUAAUUGUUGUUUACACGAGUAAAGUUAUGUAAAAUUCAAUCGAUCGUAUUGCUU
rnacentral:misc_RNA from 1 species